GGGCGCAAGCCUGAUCCAGCCAUGCCGCGUGCAGGAUGACGGUCCUAUGGAUUGUAAACUGCUUUUAUACAGGAAGAAACACUCCCUCGUGAGGGAGCUUGACGGUACUGUAGGAAUAAGGAUCGGCUAACUCCGUGCCAGCAGCCGCGGUAAUACGGAGGAUCCAAGCGUUAUCCGGAAUCAUUGGGUUUAAAGGGUCCGUAGGCGGCUUAAUAAGUCAGUGGUGAAAGCCCUACGCUUAACGUAGGAACGGCCAUUGAUACUGUUAGGCUUGAAUUAUUAGGAAGUAACUAGAAUAUGUAGUGUAGCGGUGAAAUGCUUAGAGAUUACAUGGAAUACCAAUUGCGAAGGCAGGUUACUACUAAUGGAUUGACGCUGAUGGACGAAAGCGUGGGUAGCGAACAGGAUUAGAUACCCUGGUAGUCCACGCCGUAAACGAUGGAUACUAGCUGUUGGGAGCAAUCUCAGUGGCUAAGCGAAAGUGAUAAGUAUCCCACCUGGGGAGUACGUUCGCAAGAAUGAAACUCAAAUGAAUU
rnacentral:rRNA from 1 species